rnacentral:rRNA from 1 species
GACGAACGCUGGCGGCGUGCUUAACACAUGCAAGUCGAACGGAAAGGCCCUGCUUUUGUGGGGUGCUCGAGUGGCGAACGGGUGAGUAACACGUGAGUAACCUGCCCUUGACUUUGGGAUAACUUCAGGAAACUGGGGCUAAUACCGGAUAGGAGCUCCUGCUGCAUGGUGGGGGUUGGAAAGUUUCGGCGGUUGGGGAUGGACUCGCGGCUUAUCAGCUUGUUGGUGGGGUAGUGGCUUACCAAGGCUUUGACGGGUAGCCGGCCUGAGAGGGUGACCGGCCACAUUGGGACUGAGAUACGGCCCAGGCUCCUACGGGAGGCAGCAGUGGGGAAUAUUGCACAAUGGGCGGAAGCCUGAUGCAGCAACGCCGCGUGCGGGAUGACGGCCUUCGGGUUGUAAACCGCUUUCGCCUGGGACGAAGCGUGAGUGACGGUAAUGGGUAAAGAAGCACCGGCUAACUACGUG